rnacentral:rRNA from 1 species
GAUGAACGCUGGCGGCGUGCUUAACACAUGCAAGUCGAACGGGAUCCAAGGGGUGCUUGCACUUUUUGGUGAGAGUGGCGAACGGUUGAGUAACACGUGAGUAACCUGUCCUUUUCUUUGGGAUAAGCAUUCGAAAGGGUGUUUAAUACCUUAUGUUCUGUCUGCCUCGCAUGGGGUGGGUGGGAAAGGCUUUGGCCGGAUUUGGGUGGGCUCGCGGUCUAUCAGCUUGUUGGUGGGGUGAUGGCUUACCAAGGCUUUGACGGGUAGCCGGCCUGAGAGGGUGGUCGGUCACAUUGGGACUGAGAUACGGCCCAGACUCCUGCGGGAGGCAGCAGUGGGGGAUAUUGCACAAUGGGCGAAAGCCUGAUGCAGCGACGCCGCGUGGGGGAUGAAGGCCUGCGGGUUGUAAACUUCUUUUGCUCUGAACAAGGCAUGCCAGUGGGUGUGUUGAGUGUAGGGGUUGAUUAGCGCCGGCUAACUACGUG